CCGAUCCCGGCAGCGGGACGUAACGGACCACGGCGCAGCUCCAACCCCACCGCGCUGUGCUCUGCGUGGCGCUGCGCUCCGCACAUCGCGUCGGUGGGCGCCGCACUCCGCGGCUGAGCGGCGCUGCUCCCAACGCCGCGCGGGGCCCGGCCCGGUGCUGCCCCACGCUGGCGGCCUCUGCCGCUCUGAAAACCAGGCGCUGUGGGGAAACGCAGCGCUGUCAGGAGCCGGCAGCGCACCCGUGUGAAGCACUGCAAAAAGAAAGAAGAAAAGACGUACAUCAUUUUGUUAUCUUCUUCAUUUUCACAUUCAUGGAUUCCUAUGAUUUGUGCUCCUCGAGCAGCUGGGCUCAGUCCCCACACGCAGUGCUCUCGGGGUCACAGGCAGCAGCACGGGGUGGGGACCCCAGGAGGUGACGUGGGGCUCUGUGUCUGACUUGUGCUACAGAGGACAACAAAUGCACACGAGAUCCAAGCACUGCAGCCACGAGCAGGAGGUGAGCGCAGGGCUCACUGAGGGUACAGCACAGCCAUGGCCACGGCCACGGCCACACAACGGCAGCAGCAGCCCCGGCACAGAUAUCCUUCUGCUCUCCAUAGCGGGUAGCUGAGCAUCACAGACACAGGGAGAGAAAAAGGAAAGAAUAAAAAGAGAAGGCUGAAGCAGAGCCCUAAGCCUGCACGAGGCCAUCAGCAAUGUUCUUAGUGCAACGGGAACAAGGAACAGCCACAUCCUCCAUCACAUCCUCCCAGCUCUGCUAAGCCCAGCACUGAAGGGCAGCACCACUCUGCUUAACCCUAUUUUGGCAGCUUUCCUGUCUCCCCAUGGCCAGGAGCUGGGAGGGAACCUCAGCCCCAUCCCCCAGGGCUGAUCCACAUGGGGCAGAGCACAGCCCUCCAGCACAGAGCGCAGCCACCAUACAUCAGACAGCGCUGGAGCCUCAUCUGCCUGUGUGCCCCUGCAUGGAGAUGCCCGUGGUGGGGGUGAAGCAAGGACAUGGGGAGACGAGCAGCUGGGCUGGGCAGUGAGGACAGGCCCUGUGCAGGGCCCUGCCGGCAGCACCCACCAGCAGUGGGAGUGCGGUUCUGGUGCUCUCAGCUCCCAGGACAGAGCCCUCAGUGCUGAGCUCACAGGGAUGCAGAGGGUUAAGGGCCCUGCUGAGCUCUCUGGAGACAGCAAGGACA
rnacentral:lncRNA from 1 species